ACACCUGCGCAGGUUAAACCUGCAGGGACGCGCUGCCGCGAGCGGCGCGGGAAGGCGGCGCUGGCGGCGGCCCCGGGACCCGCGGAAGCCGGCAUGCUGGAGAAAUUCGAGUUGGAAGAAGAAGCUUGAAAAUAUGUCCUACGGCAUCCAGCAACCACUCUACAUAAACUAACAAACGAAACCAAAAAUGUGCUUUCACUCAAACUCAUUCCCAACUGGAGUAGAGUUCCCCGAAGUGAGCAAAGAUUGGUUCUCGUCAGGGGACAAAAAUCAUAGCUGUGACAGCGGUUCGUGGCUCUCCAAAGGGCCCUGGAACAGAUGUGCGGCGUAUCUGUCGUAGUCAAGUGUCCUGGGGGUGGGACAGUUGGGUGAAAAUGUACGGAAGGGCGGGGACUGGGGAACCGUGAAAAAAAGGUUGAGACGCACCGUUGUCACAUGCUUCAGGGAGACUGUCUUCCUGUGUAUCUGUGGAGCCUUUGAAGGUGUCCCCCUGUUCACUUAGCUUUGAGAGCGGCCUCCCCGUGAGGCUCUGCUGGGUCCCUUGGACAUUUACUGGCCGUAACACAGGGGCACUGACCUCUGCUGGUGACAGGUCUGAUCCCAGCUUGGUGCUUGCUGAUCUCAUCCCGUCGUUUUAGAAGCUUCUGGUCCUCUGUCAUCCGGACUCUACCCUUCCUUCCCUGCUGAGUUUGCACACUUGGCCCAGACAAGAGGUUUUUCUCUUUCUUGAUUGUAAAAGUAGUUCGUUUUAUGAAAUGUUUACAGACGAAGCUUUUCUUCUUUGGCUGGCCCCGAAUUUGAAAGCUUGCCGUAUUUAAUAGGUUUCGGGAAGGCAUUCGAAAGCCGCUGAAGUCAGGCUCCAGCUUCCUGGUUGAUGGUGUCUGGAUUCCAGGAGCUGGAGCAGUUUUGAGACCGCAGAGGUCUUGUCAUCUGAAACACUAAGACCCCUGCCUGCUUUGAGCAAGAGAAGAGCACAGAGGGACUGAGGACACCCGAAGUGGCCCCGUGACCGAGCUUCACAAGCCUCAUAAUGGAAAGUCAUCAGAAGCCAAGGCAGUGCUGCUGAGUCAUGUCCACGAUGACAGGCUCUCCUCGACCUUCCCUCUCGAGACUGGCUCUGUCUGCUCUGGGGAUUGGGGGGCGGGGGGGCACUCCGCAGCCCUGUGGUCAGCUGGCCAGGGUCCAGAACAGUGAUUCAGACGCUCCAUAGCUGGGCUGCUUCCACCCACACAGAAUCCUUGCAGCUCUGUCACACAGAAUCCUUGAAACGCUCUGUCUCACCUGCGAAUUUUAAAGCCGAAAAAUUUUGAUACCACAAGGCAUUUGGAGUUUACUCAAAAAAAGUGGAAGGAUUUUUGUCCUUUUUCUAUGAUUAUAAUAACUGGCGCAGAGUUCCUAUCAUGGCUCAGCCGAAACGAAUCUGACUAGCAUCCCUGAGGACGCAGGUUCGAUCCCUGGCCUCGCUCAGUGGGUUAAGGAUCCGGCGUUGCCGUGAGCUGAGGUGUAGGUUGCAGACGCGGCUCGGAUCCCUCAUUGCUGUGGCUGUGGUGUAGGCCGGCGGCUACAGCUCCAGUUGGACCCCUCACCUGGGACCCUCCGUAUGCCUUGGGUGCGGCCUUAAAAAGCAAAACAAAAAAAUGUGGCGUAUAUUAAGUAUAUCAAGGCCCUGCUGUGUUGUCAACCUUUUACGCUGAUCUGAUCUAAUCCUCAAAACAAGUCUAAGAGGGAAAAGCUUCUGUCACCCUGCUUCAUGGAGGAGGAAAUGAAGGAGGUGAGGGGUUGAGUGAGUUACCUCCGGGGACGCAUCUGGGAAGGUGGGGUCAGCAGGUUUCAAAGGCCGUCGUUGGGCUCCGAGCCAGGCCGUGUGACCGACAUGGACUAAUCUACAGCCGGAAACCCUCUUUCCAUUUUCUCACGUCCUAUUCAUUCUUCAGCCCAUUUCCACCGCUCCACCCAGCUUCCUGAGGUGGUCACUCGUGGCUCCAUUCUGCAAACUCCAGUGGCCACUCAGUCCUUUUCUCAUUUUGAGCUCUCGGUCGCUGUCACCAGAGAUGACCUCUGCCCCCUUCUCCCCGAAAACCCUCCGGUGUUCUCUGCACACCUCCUCGUUUCCUCCGUGCAUCUCAGUUUUGUUUUCAGUAGGAGAUUUAGCAGCGUCAAACACACGUGCCACACGCCUGCCCUCCUUUCUCAACAGCGGCUGUUGGACUUGCUCCCGGCCCAUCUGAAGUCCCCUUGUCUUGCCCUCUGGGACCCUCACCCUGGGCAGCCUCCCCGCCUGUCGCCCAGGGUGUGGGUACACGAUGCUUCGAUAACUAGUGACGCCCGGUAGAUAUUUGCAGCCAGAUCUCUCGAGUGUUGGGGCGCCUGUUGGAUGUCUCUGCCUGAGCCGCUCCCCGUCUCUCUGCUCUGUCGUCCCCCCGCCCCGCUUCAGUAGUACCACGUCCCCUGGUACCACGUCCCCUGGUUGUUUGAUUUGUUUUGUAGUUUAACACAAAUGACGUUUGGCUCUGGCUCGCUCCCUCUCCCGCAUGCACGUUUGCAGUCCUCUCACUGUCACCUGCUAAGUACCCACGUGUCUCUGUCACUUCUGUCCUCGCUCCAGGCCAGGCCAUCGUCAUCUUUCUCUUGACUAUUAAACAGUCUGACCUCUCCAGCACCUACUCGGGCCCCUCCCGUCAGCUUCAGCUGCAGUCAGACACAGUUUCUAAGAACAUGGACCUAGGAGCUCCCACUGUGGCACAACGGGACUGGCAGCAUCUCGAGCACUGGGACGCAGACUCGCUCCCCGGCCCUGCGUAGCAGGUUAAGCGUCUGGCGUUGCCACAGCUACGGCUUCAGUCUGAUCUGAUCCCCGGCUCGGGAACGCCGUUUGCCACGGGGAGGCCAAAAACCAGAUAAACAAACCCUGUUCCCUAAUCCUGUCACUUCCACGUUUAAAAGCCUCUCUGACUUUCCUCUGCCUUUAGGCCGGAGCCGAGACUUCUUGCUCUGUUCCCGGACGUGCCGCACUGGCUCCUCCCUCUGCCGCCUCCGUGCCGUCUAGACGUCACACGGGCUGUUCCCUCACCCUGGGUUCUUCCCUGUCCUCUUGGCCACCUGCUCGUUUUCUCCAGGUCUCAGCCUAAAUGUCACUUCCUUGGGAACAGUGACUUUCUGGAAGCCCCGGAAAGGCCUUCACAUAUUAUCUCGUGAUCCCGCGUAGUUGACGGUGCCGUUAAGAAGAAACAUUUAUUCAUGUCUCUUGGCCGUUGUGGGAGCUCUGGGAGGAGGGCACGCAAAGCUUCACAUGUGCCAGCUCUCCAGGAUGGUGCGACGAGUAGACUGAGUGGUGGUAAAUACUUUUUACUCCCGUGAACCGGUUUUUUGGCGCUUUAACUCUACUCUGGCACGAGGACCAGCCCGAUAGCCGGGACGUCCGAGGUAACGUUCCCUCUUAGGAAGCAAGCAAGCAUGUCCACGUGAGGCCUGAGAGGAGGUCCGUUCGCCCAGCUGACGUGCUGAUCACAGAGCCCUGGCGAGGCGGGGGGACAGGGUGCCUCCCUGCCAGGUGCGCCAAGGCCUCUCCCCCUCAGUGGGAGGCGGGAGAGACUGGCCAGCGCCCGGAUGGUCCCAGGCAGUGACGGCGGGUCAGGACUGGCGUCCAUGAUCUGGUGGCUUCGGGAAGAGGCUUUGAGCGCUUUCUUUUGUGACUAUGACGUAAGUGUAACUUAACUCAGAUACUAAAAGGAGAGCCGUUUGGGGGGGACGAAUUUGGGAACCAUUGGAUCAAAUCGUAGUCAUUGUUUUAAUCUUUUCAUUUGCUGCUUCUGUCCCUCUUGGAGCUGUUUCCUGUGUGUCUGAAUUUCUUUCAGGUCAUCGAAGUUUCUGGACUUUGUAGCACCUGGUUCAUUUUAUCUUAGGUUACACUUUGAUCAUUUGUCUCUUGUAAGUUGCUACCAAUAAACUGUUACCUUUUACAC
rnacentral:lncRNA from 1 species